rnacentral:rRNA from 1 species
CUGGGAGGACCAUCUCCUAAGGCUAAAUACUCUCUAGUGACCGAUAGUGAACCAGUACCGUGAGGGAAAGGUGAAAAGCACCCCGGAAGGGGAGUGAAAUAGAACCUGAAACCGUGUGCUUACAAGUAGUCAGAGCCCGUUAAUGGGUGAUGGCGUGCCUUUUGUAGAAUGAACCGGCGAGUUACGAUUUGAUGCAAGGUUAAGCAGUAAAUGUGGAGCCGUAGCGAAAGCGAGUCUGAAUAGGGCGUUUAGUAUUUGGUCGUAGACCCGAAACCAGGUGAUCUACCCUUGGUCAGGUUGAAGUUCAGGUAACACUGAAUGGAGGACCGAACCGACUUACGUUGAAAAGUGAGCGGAUGAACUGAGGGUAGCGGAGAAAUUCCAAUCGAACCUGGAGAUAGCUGGUUCUCUCCGAAAUAGCUUUAGGGCUAGCCUCAAGUGAUGAUUAUUGGAGGUAGAGCACUGUUUGGACGAGGGGCCCCUCUCGGGUUACCGAAUUCAGACAAACUCCGAAUGCCAAUUAAUUUAACUUGGGAGUCAGAACAUGGGUGAUAAGGUCCGUGUUCGAAAGGGAAACAGCCCAGACCACCAGCUAAGGUCCCAAAAUAUAUGUUAAGUGGAAAAGGAUGUGGCGUUGCCCAGACAACUAGGAUGUUGGCUUAGAAGCAGCCAUCAUUUAAAGAGUGCGUAAUAGCUCACUAGUCGAGUGACACUGCGCCGAAAAUGUACCGGGGCUAAACAUAUUACCGAAGCUGUGGAUUGUCCUUUGGACAAUGGUAGGAGAGCGUUCUAAGGGCGUUGAAGCA